rnacentral:rRNA from 1 species
UACAGAGGGUGCGAGCGUUGUUCGGAAUUACUGGGCGUGAAGCGUGCGCAGGCGGUUUCGUAAGUCUGUCGUGAAAUCCCCGGGCUUAACCUGGGAAUGGCGAUGGAGACUGCGAGGCUAGAGUUUGGCAGAGGGGGGUAGAAUUCCACGUGUAGCAGUGAAAUGCGUAGAUAUCAGGAGGAAUACCGAUGGCGAAGGCAGGUCUCUGGGCUGACACUGACGCUCAUGCACGAAAGCGUGGGAGCAAACAGG